UAAAUCGAACUGGAAAAAAGGAGAUUUGAUUCAGAUUUGGUUCCAACCAAUUACACAAUCAGAUCAUAUAUCUCUAAAACCAAAGAACUAUAACUGAACCGAAAUCGAAUCAAAACCAAAUUGGAACUAAACCAAGAACCGAAUAAAUACCCAAAUUUCUAUAAUAUAAUUUAUAUACUUAUAAAUACUAACUAUAUUUAAUUUUAAAAUAAUCAAAUAAUUUAAAAUAUUAUUUAUAAACUGAAAUACCCAAAAAAUGAUUACCAUGAUACUUCUAUCCAAAAUAUUUUAAAUUAUCCAAAUUAUCUAAAUUUUUAUCUAAAACCCAAAAAAAUGAUAUGUAAUCCAAAAAUCUUGGAUUCUUUACUUUUAUCAUGAAUUAACCAAAAAAUUGAACUAACCCCGAAGGAUCCAAAAUUAUCUUGGUUAUUAAUAGGUUCAUAACUUUAUUACAGGAACAAAAAUGAGAACCCAAAAAACUGAACCGAAACCAAAC
rnacentral:lncRNA from 1 species